AGGCCCUCUAACAAGUGGUAACUAGAAACUAGUCAGCAGACGACUUUUUUGUUAAAAAAUUCUGGAGCAAACAUGGGACCUGCUCUACUCGGCACGCCAACUUUUGGCCGGAUAGCACCUGCCAGUGGAACCCCACGACCACCAAAGACCCCUUGCAAGAACCCCACAUUACCACUGUUCAUGCAGAGUAUUAGAUUUUAGUACGUUCAGCAAUUCUCGGAGCAGGUGGGCACUUUCCGGAAACUGUAUGGAUAUGCACGCACGCUGAAUGUCUGUAAUCUGUGUGCUUUAGUUGCUGGGUAUGCACGUGAGGUGGAGCAAUCCCCCAUGCAUCCGGGGCCCUUAAGAAAGAACACCAGCUGCUGAAUACCACUGGAUGAAGUUACUGCAUCCUUGGAGAUCAGCCAUCAUCAGCUUUCAGCCAGAAUGGCAGCUUUUGCAGAAGUAGUCAUGGAACUCCACAAGAGGUGAAGAGGGAAAUAUGAAAACGAAGGUUUUUUUUGCAUUUGAAACAUCCCUAGUCUCUCUCUUCAGACAGAAGAAAUGAUUCCAUCACAUCACAUCCUCUUUCACUAGAGCUCACUUCUGUGAGCUCCAUGAGCUGGCAUGUUAGUGGCAAUCUCAAAUCCUAGAGGAGGGUAACAGGAAGGUGUGAACGGAAAAUGGCAGCAAGUCAUCGACACCCAGCUGGAGAUCACCAAGUGAAGACCGGGCACCUCCCCAAGUUGCAGUACUGCACCUGUCUGAAAUCCAGGUCUGGCCAAGCAUAGAAACCACUUGCAUCUGUUUGACCUGCACCUGUCUGUCAAGAAGAUUCAGAGCAAGCAGAUGAUCUCUCGAGAUCAAUGACUAUUAAAAGGACAGAGGCUACAGAUCUGUAUCCUCAGCUCCUGCUCCACCGACCCCUGACAGCCUGCAGAAGAGGAUUAUCACUUCAUGAUGACUCCUCACCUCUCUCAAGGAAUAAUUCAGUGCAUCCUAAAUCACCUCUAUAGAAAAAUGGAACACUAUUCUCUCUCAGGAAAGCUGAAGACAAAGCAGCAGAUAGAUGCCUGUGAGCAUCCCACAUUGGAGAAAACCUCGCUUCCUCCUGCCUCUGCAAAAUCCUGUUGCUGCUGUCAGAAGAGUGAAGACAAAGUAAAAAUAGGGAAAAAAUGAUCAGAGAUACUGCCAACUGUUACAGCUUUCUGGAUUAUAUCACUGCGAGUCAAAAAUACCUUGCAGACGUCCAGUCCUUUUGUCUCCUUUCCCAAGUCUGUCAGCAUUUUUAACAAAUCUGCCCUGAAUUAAACCUGAGAGUGCUCUUCUAUAUUGUUUACCAUUAAGCUUUUCUCCAUAUCUCUGCUUCUACUUCAUAUUCU
rnacentral:lncRNA from 1 species